rnacentral:rRNA from 1 species
GGUGGAGCGAUUUGUCUGGUUAAUUCCGAUAACGAACGAGACUCUAGCCUGCUAAAUAGGCAGCGGAUUCUUAGUCCGCUGUACUUCUUAGAGGGACAAGCAGCGUCUAGCUGCACGAGAUUGAGCAAUAACAGGUCUGUGAUGCCCUUAGAUGUUCGGGGCUGCACGCGCGCUACACUGAAGGAAUCAACAUGCUUCUCAACCUUGCCCGGAAGGGCUAGGUAACCCGUUGAAACUCCUUCGUGAUUGGGAUAGGGAAUUGCAAUUAUUUCCCUUGAACGAGGAAUUCCCAGUAAGUGCGGGUCAUCAGCUCGCGCUGAU